GACGAACGCUGGCGGCGUGCUUAACACAUGCAAGUCGACCGGAAAGGCUCCAGCUUCCUCGAGUCCUCGAGUGGCGAACGGGUGAGUAACACGUGGGUAAUCUGCCCUGCACUCUGGGAUAAACCUGGGUAACUGGGUCUAAUACUGGGUAUGAACUUCCUCCUUAUGAGGUUUGGUUGAAAGUUUUUCGGUGUAGGAUGAGCCCGCGGCCUAUCCGCUUGUUGGUGGGGUGAUGGCCUACCAAGGCGACGACGGGUAGCCGGCCUGAGAGGGUGAUCGGCCACAUUGGGACUGAGAUACGGCACAGACUCCUACGGGAGGCAGAAGUGGGGAAUAUUGCACAAUGGGCGGAAGCCGGAUGCAGCGACGCCGCGUGCGGGAUGACGGCCUUCGGGUUGUAAACCGCUUGCAGCAGGGACGAAGCGUAAGUGACGGUACCUGCAGAAGAAGCACCGGCUAACUACGUG
rnacentral:rRNA from 1 species